CUCCCAUUUGCUCUUUCCCAUCUCCGAUUCAAAACAUUCACUUUCACAUUAUUUGCUUAAAUUUCUUUUGUUGGUAGGAAAUGAAGAGAGGUAGAGAAGAAGCUGCAGGAUUUGAGUCAGCCAGGGACAUGGUGAAUUGCUUGAUGCUUCUUUCUAAAGUUGGCCAAACUGAAGCACCCGAUGGUCGUUUCUUUACAUGCAAGACGUGUAAUAGGAAAUUCGCAUCAUUUCAAGCCUUGGGUGGUCACCGUGCAAGUCACAAGAAACCAAAACUCGUUGGAGAUGACUUUCUAAAACUACCCAGUUCGCCUCCAAAGCCAAAAACCCAUGAGUGCCCCAUAUGUGGCCUUGAGUUUCCCAUCGGACAAGCUCUAGGGGGUCAUAUGAGGAGGCACAGAGGAGGAAAUAACAAUAUGGGUGAUGGAUUAGUGACUCGGCCUCUGUUACCGCUGCCAGUUAUGAAGAAAUCCACAAGUAAGAGAGUUUUAUCUUUGGAUUUGAACCUGACGCCAAUGGAG
rnacentral:misc_RNA from 1 species